GAUGAACGCUGGCGGCGUGCCUAAUACAUGCAAGUCGAGCGAACGGACGAGAAGCUUGCUUCUCUGAUGUUAUCGGCGGACGGGUGAGUAACACGUGGAUAACCUACCUAUAAGACUGGGAUAACUUCGGGAAACCGGAGCUAAUACCGGAUGAUAUUUUGAACCUCAUGGUUCAAGAGUGAAAGACGGUCUUGCUGUCACUUAUAGAUGGAUCCGCGCUGCAUUAGUUAGUUGGUAAGGUAACGGCUUACCAAGGCAACGAUGCAUAGCCGACCUGAGAGGGUGAUCGGACAGCCUGGAACUGAGGCACGGUCCCGACUCUGGCGGGAGGCAGCAGUAGGGAAUCUUCCGCAAGGGGCGAAAGCCGGACGGAGCACAGCCGCGUGAGUGAUGAAGGUCUUCGGAUCGUAAAACUCUGUUAUUCGGGAAGAAGAAAUGUGUAAGUAACUGUGCACAUCAUGACGGUACCUAAUCAGAAAGCCACGGCUAACUACGUG
rnacentral:rRNA from 1 species